rnacentral:rRNA from 1 species
UACGUAGGGCGCAAGCGUUGUCCGGAAUUAUUGGGCGUAAAGAGCUCGUAGGCGGCCUGUUGCGUCCGCUGUGAAAUCCCGGGGCUCAACCCCGGGCCUGCAGUGGAUACGGGCUGGCUAGAGGCAGGCAGGGGAGAACGGAAUUCCUGGUGUAGCGGUGAAAUGCGCAGAUAUCAGGAGGAACACCGGUGGCGAAGGCGGUUCUCUGGGCCUGUACUGACGCUGGGGAGCGAAAGCGUGGGGAGCAAACAGG